CUACGGGAGGCAGCAGUAGGGAAUCUUCCGCAAUGGGCGAAAGCCUGACGGAGCAACGCCGCGUGAGUGAUGAAGGUCUUCGGAUCGUAAAACUCUGUUAUUAGGGAAGAACAUAUGUGUAAGUAACUGUGCACAUCUUGACGGUACCUAAUCAAAAAGCCACGGCUAACUACGUGCCAGCAGCCGCGGUAAUACGUAGGUGGCAAGCGUUAUCCGGAAUUACUGGGCGUAAAGCGCGCGUAGGCGGUUUGUUAAGUCUGAUGUGAAAUCCCACGGCUCAACCGGGGAGGGUCAUUGGAAACUGGAAAACUUGAGUGCGGAAGAGGAAAGUGGAAUUCCAUGUGUAGCGGUGAAAUGCGCAGAGAUAUGGAGGAACACCAGUGGCGAAGGCGACUUUCUGGUCUGUAACUGACGCUGAUGUGCGAAAGCGUGGGGAUCAAACAGGAUUAGAUACCCUGGUAGUCC
rnacentral:rRNA from 1 species